AUGGACCGCCGCCGGCAGAAAGUACCAGGGACGCCCUCGGCUCAGCUCGCCGCCACCGGUAGCUCCUCCGACCAGUCGCGGGAGAAGAUAUCUGGGACAGCACCAGCGCCCUCGGUUCAGUUCGCCGUCGCUGGUAGCUCCGCCGGCCAGCCACAAUCUGCUCGAGGGCCUAUGUAUAACCAUCCACCAGAUGAUCCUGAUGAUAUAGAUCAACAACAUGAUAGUGAUGCCAGAAACACUACAUAUCCAACAGAGUUAUACACACUUGAUGAAUUCCUAGCCGAGGAGGACAUGCUAGACUCCUUCGCCGAGGAGAUUGUCGUGGAGUUGAAGGGAACACUUGAGGCUCUUCAAGCAAGAUCACUUAGCAGGAGUGGUCCGAGGAUAUACGUGAAUAGACCGCGUGAAGAAGCACAUCAACAGCUUGUACGAGAUUACUUCUGCGACAAUCCUCUCUACCGCACCAAAAAAUUUCGGAGAAGAUUCAGGAUGAGAUGA
rnacentral:rRNA from 1 species